rnacentral:tRNA from 1 species
GGGGAUUUAGCUCAGUGGUAGAGUGUUUGCCUAGCAAGCGCAAGGCCCUGGGUUCAGUCCCCA